rnacentral:tRNA from 1 species
GGGAAUAUGGCUUAGUAGUAGAGCGCUUGCCUGGCAUGCAUGAAGCCCUGGGUUUGAUUCCCCGGUAUCA